GAUGAACGCUAGCGGCAGGCUUAACACAUGCAAGUCGAGGGGUAACAGGGAGAAGCUUGCUUUUCCGCUGACGACCGGCGCACGGGUGCGUAACGCGUAUAGAACCUACCUUUUACAGGAGAAUACCCCAGAGAAAUUUGGAAUAAUGCUCCAUAGUAUUAUUGAGUGGCAUCAUUUGAUAAUUAAACAUUUAUGGGUAAAAGAUGGCUAUGCGUUCUAUUAGCUAGAUGGUAAGGUAACGGCUUACCAUGGCAACGAUAGAUAGGGGUCCUGAGAGGGAGAUCCCCCACACUGGUACUGAGACACGGACCAGACUCCUACGGGAGGCAGCAGUGAGGAAUAUUGGACAAUGGAGGCAACUCUGAUCCAGCCAUGCCGCGUGCAGGAAGACGGCCCUAUGGGUUGUAAACUGCUUUUAUAUAGGAAGAAACCUUUCCCACGUGUGGAAAGCUGACGGUACUGUAUGAAUAAGCACCGGCUAACUCCGUGCCAGCAGCCGCGGUAAUACGGAGGGUGCAAGCGUUAUCCGGAAUCAUUGGGUUUAAAGGGUCCGUAGGCGGACUAAUAAGUCAGGGGUGAAAUACCACAGCUCAACUGUGGAACUGCCUUUGAUACUGUUAGUCUUGAGUUAUAUGGAAGUAGAUAGAAUGUGUAGUGUAGCGGUGAAAUGCUUAGAGAUUACACAGAAUACCGAUUGCGAAGGCAGUCUACUACG
rnacentral:rRNA from 1 species